ACGGGAGGCAGCAGUGGGGGAUAUUGCACAAUGGGGGAAACCCUGAUGCAGCAACGCCGCGUGAAGGAAGAAGGUCUUCGGAUUGUAAACUUCUGUCCUCAGGGAAGAUAAUGACGGUACCUGAGGAGGAAGCUCCGGCUAACUACGUGCCAGCAGCCGCGGUAAUACGUAGGGAGCGAGCGUUGUCCGGAUUUACUGGGUGUAAAGGGUGCGUAGGCGGAUCUGCAAGUCAGUAGUGAAAUCCCAGGGCUUAACCCUGGAACUGCUAUUGAAACUGUGGGUCUUGAGUGAGGUAGAGGCAGGCGGAAUUCCCGGUGUAGCGGUGAAAUGCGUAGAGAUCGGGAGGAACACCAGUGGCGAAGGCGGCCUGCUGGGCCUUAACUGACGCUGAGGCACGAAAGCAUGGGUAGCAAACAGGAUUAGAUACCCUGGUA
rnacentral:rRNA from 1 species